rnacentral:rRNA from 1 species
AUUGAACGCUGGCGGCAUGCCUUACACAUGCAAGUCGAACGGUAACAGGUCUUCGGAUGCUGACGAGUGGCGAACGGGUGAGUAAUACAUCGGAACGUGCCCGAUCGUGGGGGAUAACGAGGCGAAAGCUUUGCUAAUACCGCAUACGAUCUACGGAUGAAAGCGGGGGAUCUUCGGACCUCGCGCGGACGGAGCGGCCGAUGGCAGAUUAGGUAGUUGGUGGGAUAAAAGCUUACCAAGCCGACGAUCUGUAGCUGGUCUGAGAGGAUGAUCAGCCUCACUGGGACUGAGACACGGCCCAGACUCCUACGGGAGGCAGCAGUGGGGAAUUUUGGACAAUGGGCGAAAGCCUGAUCCAGCCAUGCCGCGUGCAGGAUGAAGGCCUUCGGGUUGUAAACUGCUUUUGUACGGAACGAAAAGCCUCUUUCUAAUAAAGAGGGGUCAUGACGGUACCGUAAGAAUAAGCACCGGCUAACUACGUG